ensembl:lncRNA
UCAUCCUUUAAUGUAGGACAUUAGCCAAAUGUACAGUAUUCCUAUGUGGCAAAGUUUCAUAAUUAUCUAAUUUAAUAGGUACCACCUGCCAAGUAAUGGGUCAUAGAGUGACUAUGUUUAAUUCAACAGCAAAAUGAAGGAAUUAGAACAGCAUUUCAAAAAAGAGCUUAUUUUAUAACAUAAUUCAUAAGAUUAUUUUCAAUUUGGGGACAACUUAUUAGACUAUUUUUUAUACUUAAGGCUUUAAAAUGACAAGUACAUCAUUUAAAAAAUCGUGUAUGUUAUCUAUACUCAUAUUUUCUCACCCAUCUAAGAAAUUUUAUGCUUUUCAAACAAUUUUAUGGAGCCACCCAUUCGGGUAUAGGACUAAGUUUCAGGUGAAGGAAGAUAUAUAAGUAUUUGAACAGAGUUUUCAAGAAUCUAUCUUUUUUAAAUCCAACUUUACUUCCCAGCCCCUUGAUAUUUAUAAAAACUGCACAUCAGCAUUAAUGUGCUGAAUUUAAUUUUUAACUUAGAUUUGGAAGUACGUUAUGUCUUUUUUUUUCCCUUCCUUCCUCCUUCGCUGUCCUUUUCCUUUUGCAUUUUUAAAAACACUCACAGCAGUGGAACAGGAAGCAUGACACUGAGUGGGGCAUUAGGGGGACAGGUGCUUGUCAAUAGCUUUUCUACCUUUUUGUUUUGGUGAGUAGAUAUGAAUGCUCAUUUUAAAUACUAAGGAAAAAUACUGGCUUUCACAUAUGGGAUUUUUUUAUAUUUAAAUUUCAAAAGACAAAGGUCUUUUAUUUUAAAAACUUAAAAAAUGAUGGACCAUCAUUUUCAUUCCUAGUGAAAUAAAAUUUUAUUAAAAGUAUAAUUCUCUGGUUACUUAAGUAAUGGAUGCAGUUCAGCAGGCCAGCUGCUUUAUUUUACUCACACGAUGAAAGUAAACAACUCUUUUUCUGAGUGAUAAAUUGGUCCUUAUUUCUCAUGCAUUUCCAAGCAAUCAAAAAUACUUUCUCUUUUUCUAAUAAACUGCCAAUCUGAAGUUUUAUUUUAUUUUGUUUUCUAAAUGGUAGUCGUGGUAGUGUCUACCUUCCAUUAUGGUGGAUGAUUCCAGAAAACACCAUGAGCAAUAAUGUUCCAGUGCUUUCAGGAGUCCUAGGUCUAAAGAACAAAUUAGAGGCAGGAGUAGCUAAGAAAUGAAAUCUUCCCAUGGUGUAGGAAGAAGCUGGGUGCAUCUAGAGAGGUGGCAGAUUCUAGAGUGACGCUUUAUAAAGUACAAGAGUUACACUAUUCCACAAUAAAUAUUACCCAAAUUAUGUCUUUCAACACAUAUUAUUUUAGUUUCUUUUGUUUUAAUAGACUUUCCAGGGUACACAUUUUAUCAAUCUCUGUGCAAGUUCCUCUGAGCAUUUAUUUGCUGAAAUGUACUAAUUUAACAAUGUCAAGAUUAUGUACAGUAAUUUGUUCAGUAGUUACAUAGUCUUCCAUCAGGCAGUCUUUUUUGGUACUUGAACAACACUCAACCAAUAUUUACUGCACACACAUCAGCACUCUGAGAGGUAUGAGAAAGACAGAUGUGAUCCCUGCCUUCAGCAAGUUUACAGUCCAAUGAGGGAGGCUAAUGGAAAUAAACAUAUAAUUGAGUACAAAUUAUGGUCAGCAGCAUAAAGGAAAUAAAUUGAGUGUUGACUUGGAGAAUACCAGAGCCAAUAUGGCUAGUUUAGAUAAGGGGCUCAAGGACGCUCUCUCUGAGGAAGGACAACUACACAGAGAUAUGAAAUACUGACAAAAGCAGGAAAAAAUGGAGAGAGGCAUUAAAGAAACCAGGAUGAAGGUCUGAUCUGGAAAAGGACCAGUCGGCUCUGAGAGGCUGACGGGGCCUGAGCUUUGGUUGGAAGGGUAAGAUGAGAGAUACCUUCCUUCUUAGAGCCAUGAUGUAGUAUUUUGGGCCUAAUUCCAGACAUUGAUGAAUAAGCUGGGAAAGGACAUGUUCCAAUUUUUAUUUUAGGGCUAUCACUUGGUGGCUAAAUGGAAAAGUGAUUGCAGUGAGACAAAAAUGUGUUAGAAGUCUCUGUAACACUCUUACCACUUUUGUUCAACAUAAUUUUGGAAGUCCUAGCCAUGGCAAUCAAAGCAAAAAAAGAAAUAAAAGGAAUCUGAAAUGGAAGAGAAAAAGUAAAACUGUUGCUGUUUGCAAAUGCCAUGAUAUUAUACAUAUAAAAUCCUGAAGACACUACCAGAAAACUACUAGAGCUCAUCAAAGAAUUCAAUAAAUUUGCAGGAUACGAAAAUAAUAUACCAAAAUCUCUUGUAUUCCUACAUAAUAACAAAAAAAAGAUCAGAAAGAUAAAUUAAGAAAACAGUCUCAUUUACCUUUGCAUCUAAAAGAAUAAAAUACCUAGGAAUAAACAUACCUAAGGAAGCAAAGACAUGUACUAUGAAAACUAUAAGAUGCUGAUGAAAAAAACUGAGGAUGACACAAGUAGAUGAAAAGAUAUACUAUGCUCUUGGAUCAGAAGAAUCACCAUUGUCAAUAAGAUCAUAUUACCCAAGGCAAUCUAUAGAUUCAAUGCAAACCCUAUCAAUUUACAUAAUUCCUAUCAAAUUACCAAUGGCAUUUUUGACAGAACUAAAACAAAUAAAUUUUUAACUUGUAUGAAGACACAAAGACUCUGAAUAGCCAAAGCAAUCUUGAAAAAGAAAAACAGAACUGGAGGAAUAUGGCUUCCUGGUUUCAGAAAAUAUUACAAAGAUACAGUAGCAAAACAGUAUGGUACUGGCACAAAAACAGAUGCAUAGAUUAAUGGAACAGGAUAAAGAGCCCAGAAAUAAAUCCAUGCACCUAUGGUCAAUUAAUUGACAACAAAGGAGGCAAGAACACACAAUAGAGAAAAAAGUCUCUUUAAUAAAUGGUUCUGGGUAGACUUGGCAGCUACAUGUAAAAGAAUGAAAUUAGAGCAUUCUCUAACACCAUACACAAAAAUAAAUUUAAAAUGGAUUAAAGACCAAAAUGUAAGGAAAGAUACUAUAAAGCUCCUACAGGAAAAUAGGCAGAACACUCUUUGACACAAAUUGCAGCAAUAUCUUUUUUGGGGGGUCAUACUGAUGGCAUGCAGAAGUACCCAGGCCAGGGAUCAAAACCACGCCAUAGCAUGACCUGAGCCACUGAAGUGACAAUGCCAGAUCCUUAACCUCCUGUGCCUCAUGAGAACUCCAGCAAUAUCUUUUUUGACCCAUCUCCUAGAGUAAUGAAAGUAAACACAUGGGACCUAAUUAAACUUAAAAUCUUUUGCAAAGCAAAGGCAACCAUAAACAAAAUGAAAAGACAACCCAAAGGAUGAGAGAAAAUAUUUGCAAAUGAAGGAACAGACCAGGGAUUAAUCUCCAAAAUAUGCAAACAGCUCAUGCAACUCUCUAUCAAAAAAAAAAAAAUCAAAAAAUGGGCAUAAGAUCUAGAUAGACAUUUCUCCAAAGAAGACAGAUGGCCAAAAAGCACAUAAGAUGCUCAACGUCCCUAAUCAUUAGGUAAAUGCAAAUCAAAACUACAAUGAGGUAUCACCUCUUAGCAGUCAAAAUGGCUAUCACCAAAUAUGUCUAUAAACAAUAAAUUCUGGAGAGAGUAUGGUGAAAAAGGAAAACUUCCUAUACUGUUGGCGGCAAUGUAAAUUAGUACAGCCACUACAGAAAACAGCAUGGAAGUUACUUUAAAAACUAAAAAUAGAACUAGCAUAUGAUCUAGCAAUCCCACUUUCCAGAGAAAACCAUACUUUGAAAAUAUACAUGCAUCCCAAUGUUCAUUGCAGCACUAUUUACAAUAGCCUAAAUGACCAUCAAUAGAGGCUUAGAUAAAGAAGAUGUGGUACUUAUAUACAAUGCAAUAUUACUCAGCCGUAAAAAAGAAUGAAAUAAUGCCAUUUGCAGCAACAUGAAUGGACCUACAGAUUGUUAUACUAAGUGAAUUAAGUCAGACAGAAAAAGACAAAUAUCAUAUGACAUCACUUAAAUGUGGACUCUAAUAAGAAAAUGAUACAAAAUAACUUAUUUAUAAUACAGAACAGACCUGUUGAUUUUGAAAUCAAAUUUACGAUUAUCAAAGGGGAAAUGUUAGGAGAGGGAUAAAUUAGGAGUUUGGGAUUAACAUAUUCACACUACUAUAAAUAAAAUAGAUAAGUAACAAGGACAUGCUGUACAGCACAGGAUAUCUACUCAAUAUUCUGUAAUUACCUAUAUGGGAAAAGAAUCUGAGAAAGAAUAAAUAUGUAAAAUUGAUUCACUUAGCUGUACACAUGAAAACUAACACAUUGCAAGUCAACUAUACUCCAGUAGAAUUUGUUUAAAUAAUAAAUAACUUACAAAAGAAAUCUCUAUAAUGCAUUUUUCAUUUCAGUACCCACCAGCCAUAUGUGAUGAUUUAAAUAUAAGCUAAUUAAAAUUAAACAGGAUUGAAAACUUAGGUGUGCAAUAGUCCCAUGUUGCUUCUGGCCAUCAUACCAGACAGCGAAGAUCGAGAAUGUUCCCAGCAGUGCAGGACUUCUCCAGGCAGUGGUGCUCCAAUACAGUCAUCCAUCUCUUCCUGGACUCCAUUCUUAGCAGCCCUCCCCACACACCUUUUCAUGGAAUCUGACUGCUGUAGGAAACCUCUUGGCUUCCUCAUCCUCAUCCUUCAUCUUCCUGACUCUGCCCCUUCUAUGCCUCCUUCUCCAUCCUCUGUUCCAGACACCACUUUCCAGAAGUCUAUUGUACAGCUUCCCAGAGCUGCUAUGAUGGUAAUGUAAAUUCAAGAUGUCCCUAAUUGUGUCAAAUUUCGCCAUGAUCAUUAACACCUUCUGAUCUAUUUUUUUAUUAACGGUACCACCAAUUUCUUAGUUAUCAGAUAGAAUAACUUUCUCAGGAAAGCAUCAAUAAGUUGUUCAAUCAUACAAAAUCUACCUUCAUAAUGUCUUGUAUAUACUUCUCAUUUCCAAUAUUGCCUAAUUAAUUCUUGCCUAGGUCAAUUUUAUAAUUUCCCCAAUGAAAAUCCACAUUGGUAGAUGCAUCUCCUUGAACUAAAGUUUCAACUGGUAUCUUCAAAGAUACUCUGCUCAAAGAUACAUACUCUUUUUCCAAUACUGCUGUGUAAAUCAUGUUAGAAUUCUGAUUUUACUGUUUUUUACUCCUUUUCAAAGCUUGUUUGCUGUCUCAAAAACCUGUCCCAUGCAUUUAACACUCAUGCUUUGUCCAUUUAAUUCCCUUACCAUCUGCUAAACAUCUCCCCUCCACUUAUGACUAUCCAAGCUCUCCUUAAAGAUCCAUCAUAAAUGCUACUUCCUCUCUGAAUUUGUUCUUUAGAUUCAAAACGAUAUUUUCUGAUUAAUUCUCAUUACAAUUUUAACGUCUUUUUCAUUGAGGUAAUAUUUUUUCAUUCUGCAUUAGAGAGUUUAUUAAUGCCUUAUAUCUGAUAAUCUCUAAGAUCAAGAAUAGGGUACACAUACCUAUAUCCAAGGCAGCAUCUAACACAUUUAUUUAACUGAAUUAAGUAGAAUAUACAAAUAAACUUGCAUUCAUUACAAAUUUCAUUGUGGCUCUCAAGAAUACUCUGAUACCUUGAUUUAUCCAGGUAUCAAAUAAAGCCUAAUAUCUUUGUAAAGACUGCACAAGUAUACUAUAACAAUGUUUGUUUAAAAAUGUUUAAGAAUGAGAACUGAGGUCUUCAGUCACUCUGGAGUCAUUUAGAUGAACUGUUCUUAUCUGUGAAAAGAAGCAUAAAAUGUUCUGUUUUGUCAGGGCAAAAGUAUUUGCUAAGGAUAAAUUGAAGAUCACAUGUGAAAUUUUCAAGUGAUUGUACUUACCUGUAAGUCAACCUCUGCAAGAUUUCAAUUCUCAGAUUCUUCAGCCCAAGGUGAAUUCCUGAGACUGUAAAAGUCAUGAUCUGAUCUUGGAUACUGGGCACAACUCUGAUGAGCAGCACAUACAAUGAGGAACAGAUAUGCUGACAUCCUGAUGAACUAAGUGCUUUAUUGUUUUCUUACAACUUUAUUGAAAGAAGGGAUUUCAAGAGAAAUUACAUUCAUCAUGUAAAUCAUCAAAUGUAUAGAAGAUAUCAUUGAAGUUUUAUUAUUUACAUAUUAUUUUGGAGAAAUCAGAAAUUUCUGAAAUUCACAAUUAGUUGAUUCUUACGUGUAGUUUUACAACAGUACUUAUUACUAUUUAUAUCUACAUAUUACACUACAUGUAAUGCUAGAGAGAUAGAGAGACAGAUGCAAAAGAAAUGGAAAUUUUACUCCAUAAUGUUGGAUUAAUCUUGCAAAUACUAUUAAUGCCCAUGUCGCUGCUUAUUUAGAUGUCAGGGAUAUUUAUUUGAUGUCAGUCUGGAGCACCAAACAGGACAGUCUAAAAGAUAGAUACCUGAUUCCAGUAGGUGCUGCUGGAUAAACUCAUAGUCUCAGGUGGAUCAGCCAUCAAUAAAAACCCAGGAACCAAAUGUGGAUAUAACUUUUGGAAGAGUUUUUGGUGUAAGAUGCUACUUUCUAUUGUUGUUGUUGUUGUUCUUGUUGUUGUUGUCAUAACUUAAAUCAUGCAUGGAAACGAAGACAGUGAGCAGAAAUGAAGUCUCCAUUUCGAUAUUUGGAUGAGCAGAAUAAUGGACAUUUAUUUAGUCAUUACAGGUCAUUAGUCAUAAUCACUAAAACACUUACUAAAAUUUAUACACUAACAAUUUCUACUUUUUCCCCUUUAUUUUUCAUGCCUUAACUGAGUUUACCUUUCCCCUAACAUCCAUCUUGAGCAGGUUUUGUCUUUAUUCAUUUCUAACAUUCUUAAAAAGUAUGCCAAAAAGAAAAUAUGUUAAUGAACAUAACUUUUAUAUUUCCUACUCUCUACUCAUUUGGGCCAAUCAAUGGAUUUGAAGUUAAAUGUGAAACAUUAAUUCAAUGAGAACUUGAGGAAGUAAUAUAAACUUUCCAAAUAAUCUCUGAACAUACUGAGAAUCAAGCACACUCCUACCUCAGGGCCUCCCAUGUGCUGUCCCCUCAAUCUAAGAUGUUCUUCCCCCCAGAUAUCUGCUGAAUUCUCUCAGGACCAUGAUCCAGUGCCAUUUUCUCAAAGUGACCAUCACUGACCAUCUACAAAAUAAU